AAACCUUUAAAGCUGUAACCUAGAAAAAUGAAAUACAAUCUGUUCUUAUGAGCUUGAUAUCUGAUAUGGGUCUCAUUGGCCCUAGAUAUUAAACAUAUUUUUGUAAAUGGUGUUUCUACGGAGCUUGCCUUGGGGUCACCAGGGUUAGCCUGGGAUUUCACUGCCACCGGGAUAGGCCCAUUCUCC
rfam:Ixodes scapularis strain Wikel colony gcontig_1108379721716, whole genome shotgun sequence.